rnacentral:rRNA from 1 species
UACGUAGGGCGCAAGCGUUGUCCGGAAUUAUUGGGCGUAAAGGGCUUGUAGGCGGCUGGUCGCGUCUGCCGUGAAAUCCUCUGGCUCAACUGGGGGCGUGCGGUGGGUACGGGCUGGCUUGAGUGCGGUAGGGGAGGCUGGAACUCCUGGUGUAGCGGUGGAAUGCGCAGAUAUCAGGAAGAACACCGGUGGCGAAGGCGGGUCUCUGGGCCGUUACUGACGCUGAGGAGCGAAAGCGUGGGGAGCGAACAGGAUUAGAUACCCUGGUAGUCUACGCUGUAAACGUUGGGCACUAGGUGUGGGGGCCACCCGUGGUUCCCGCGCCGUAGCUAACGCUUUAAGUGCCCCGCCUGGGGAGUACGGCCGCAAGGCUAAAACUCAAAGGAAUUGACGGGGGCCCGCACAAGCGGCGGAGCAUGCGGAUUAAUUCGAUGCAACGCGAAGAACCUUACCAAGGCUUGACAUGCGCCCCGGGCGCGCGGAGACGCGCGCGCAUUUGGUUGGGGGUGUGCAGGUGGUGCAUGGUUGUCGUCAGCUCGUGUCGUGAGAUGUUGGGUUAAGUCCCGCAACGAGCGCAACCCUUGCCCUAUGUUGCCAGCGCGUUGUGGCGGGGUCUCGUGGGGGACUGCCGGGGUUAACUCGGAGGAAGGUGGGGAUGACGUCAAAUCAUCAUGCCCCUUAUGUCUUGGGCUUCACGCAUGCUACAAUGGCCGGUACAGAGGGUUGCGAUGCCGUGAGGCGGGGCGAAUCCCUUAAAGCCGGUCUCAGUUCGGAUUGGGGUCUGCAACUCGACCCCAUGAAGGUGGAGUCGCUAGUAAUCGCAGAUCAGCAACGCUGCGGUGAAUACGUUCUCGGGCCUUGUACACACCGCCCGUCACGUCACGAAAGUUGGUAACGCCCGAAGCCCAUGGCCCAACCGGCUCUUGCUGGGGGGAGUGGUCGAAGGUGGGAUCGGCGAUUGGGACGAAGUCGUAACAAGGUAGCCGUGCCGGAAGGUGC